GACGAACGCUGGCGGCGUGCUUAACACAUGCAAGUCGAACGGAAAGGCCCUGCUUUUGUGGGGUGCUCGAGUGGCGAACGGGUGAGUAACACGUGAGUAACCUGCCCUUGACUUUGGGAUAACUUCAGGAAACUGGGGCUAAUACCGGAUAGGAGCUCCUGCUGCAUGGUGGGGGUUGGAAAGUUUCGGCGGUUGGGGAUGGACUCGCGGCUUAUCAGCUUGUUGGUGGGGUAGUGGCUUACCAAGGCUUUGACGGGUAGCCGGCCGGAGAGGGUGACCGGCCACAUUGGGACUAAGAUACGGCCCAGCCUACUACGGGAGGCAGCAGUGGGGAAUAUUGCACAAUGGGCGGAAGACUGAUGAAGCAACGCCGCGUGCGGGAUGACGGCCUUCGGGUUGUAAACAGCUUUCGCCUGUGACGAAGAGUGAGUGACGGUAAUGGGUAAAGAAGCACCGGCUAACUACGUG
rnacentral:rRNA from 1 species